AAUGUUUGGCCAGCUUGCUCACUGAUUUCUGUGCUUUGCCAAACACUGAAAGCCAAAACAGUGCUCCAGAAAAACACCCAGAGAGUGUUUUUGUUCCUCUUAGUGCUGCUUUCCAGUGGCUCACCACCUUCUCCCUGGAGAGGGAAGAGUAAAACAGACCAUGCAUACUGCAUUUUUCUUGUCCUUGACUGUCCUCCAAGGUUCCCUUCUUUGAUCACCAACAGCAGAAGCAGAUGGAUAAUCAAAUGUUGCAAGAGCAGAAGCCUGCUGAAUAGCACUCCUUGGUUCUUAGAUUAUGUAAUGGUUCCUGCUGUAGUUCUUAUUUUCACUACAAAGAAAAGCAUUCUGUAAGAGAAACUAAACAACCACAGUUCUUUGAUUGGAGGUAAUAUACUUACAACUUUACCUGGGUACCUUUCAGCUGAGAUGAAAGAAAAUUAGAAGGUAAAAUUUGUCAUGGAGAAGUCCAAUCUGUAUUAAUUUCUCAAGCAGAUUUUUACAAGGACUUAAAGCUUGUUUGCAGUAAAAAAUGAAAAAAGAGAAAAAAAGGAGAUGAACUCAAUUAAUCAAGCAAAUUAUUAGACACAUACAUUCAGCUAGGAAUAAUAUUUUUUAAAAGCAGCAAUGUUAAUGAAGUCUUUCAGAUUUGUCCUUCUCACAGGGCAGCUACAUUAGCUCAAGACCAAAUUCUGGUAUCAAUUUUGGCUUUGCAGAUAUACCGUUUAAUUACUGUCUGAGAAUAUUAAUAUAAAAUUAGGAUUUAUUCACAUGUAGUGUGUUCUACUU
rnacentral:lncRNA from 1 species